GUGGUUUAAUUCGAUGAUACGCGAGGAACCUUAUCUGGGCUCGAACGUAAGAUGACUGUAGGUGAAAGCUUACAUCUCUUCGGAGCAUUUUACGAGGUGCUGCAUGGUUGUCGUCAGCUCGUGCCGUGAGGUGUCGGGUUAAGUCCCAUAACGAGCGCAACCCUACCUUUAGUUGCCAUCAGGUAAUGCUGGGGACUCUAAAGGAACUGCCUACGCAAGUAGUGAGGAAGGCGGGGAUGACGUCAAAUCAGCACGGCCCUUACGUCCAGGGCUACACACGUGCUACAAUGGCCGAUACAGAGGGCAGCUACCUGGUGACAGGAUGCAAAUCUCCAAAGUCGGUCUCAGUUCGGAUCGGAGUCUGCAACCCGACUCCGUGAAGUUGGAUUCGCUAGUAAUCGCGCAUCAGCCAUGGCGCGGUGAAUACGUUCCCGGGCCUU
rnacentral:rRNA from 1 species